AGGGAACGCUCAGACUUCUCUCAAAAUUUCUCCCUCUUGUAACUAAUCUCUUGGUUGUGUUUUAUUCUAUAAUAUAAAUCAAAAGGGUCAUUUGGCCACAAAACAGAAGGUCUCCGGUACUAUUUUUUCUCUCACUCUCUCACUCCUUAUAAUAUUUGCAUUACUGUAGCCUGGAUGAUAUGCUAAAUAAAUAAGUGUUAAACUUAGUAUUCGAAGGUUAUUUACAAUGCAUGUUUUGUUGCUCAAAAUGAACUGUAGCAUCCCGAUGAAGUGUUAGGUUAAGAACUAUAUAGACCAGCCAGUUACUAACCUCGAUAGUAAAUCUUGGUUAGGAUAUCCUAACCGGUGGUGCUCGUAAACUCGUUUAGGUAGGUGGCCGUGUUGAAGAGUUUUAAGGAGCAUUGGGGUUUAAGAUUUACCUAAAGGUUGGUAACAUGUCUCGAAUAGAGUUCUUGUAAUUUCUUCCUGAACCUCAUUCGGAAGCGAUCCAGUAAUAAUAAUAAUAAUAAUAAUAAUAACCAUAAUAAUCAUAAUAACAACAACAACAACAACAACAACAACAACAACAACAACAACAAUAAUAAUAGUAAUAACAAUAUAAUCAUGUCUAAAUAUUAUAUCAAUUCACUAGUCAUUUUUUCAUGAAAUCAUUUUCUGAAAAUAGCCCAUCUGGGUUUUAGAAAUUCUUCUAAAAUCAUUUUUUUUGCCGGUGAACUGGACUAAAAUCUAUUUGUUUUUCAAUCAUCAUUAUAACCAUUUUAAAAAAUCAUUUCGGAUGCAGUGGGUUCAAGAUCUAAUUUAAUUUUGACUAUAUUAUCACUAUUGAUACUGAUAUUAUUAAUAUUACAAAGGGGAUUUUUACAACGAUAGAGAAGGCUAGAGAGUUAUUCCGAACGUUGGCUAAAUGUCUUCUCUUCGUAAACUAAAAUGAUCUUAUAUAAUGGAUCAAAUAACAACCAAACAAAACUAAAACAGUAUGAUGGCCGACAAAAUAAUUGUAAGUAUGACCGACAAGAUAAAAAAAAGAUUCUACAUAAUUUACAUCAAGACAAACCACUUUAUAAAAGUGGAUUCCCUUCAAUAAUGGAGGGACCUGUGACUUUAUUAAAGUUGCUUGUAUUACCCCCAAUAAUUUAUGAUAUGGGGUCUUCAUGUCUUAACUUUUCACCUUCCCUUUGUCAUCUUUCUUUGCAGAGGAUUCUUCUGCAUUUUCCUUAAAUCUUGCAAGGAAGUCUUCUAUUUCAUCAAUAUUAAUGUUUGUGCCUGGGCAACUUUGGGCUUCACCUGUUGCAUAGUCUUCUUCAUCAGAAGUGUUUCCUCUGGAUGUCAUUGAUAUAUCAUCUCCGAUUUUUGUUCCAAAAUUGUUUGUCAAAUCCUUUUUAGUUUUUUCAAAAUAUGAUGCAAUAAUUUCUCUUUUAGAGACUGCACCUUUCUUCAUUUGAAGUCUUUUAGUGACCAUUUCAAAUGGACUUAAUUUUCCAUUACGGCAUUGGUUUUUUCCAAUUUGGUAUAGGCUUCUAUUUUAGUCUAAAUUUGUUGAAUCAAUUCUUUACCAAAUAAUUUGCCUUGGUGAUUUCAUCGGAGCAAUUUGGUCCAAAACUUAUUAUGAAAAUUGUUGUGAAGGCAAGGAAUCCCUUCGUCGGUGUAACCAACUUGGACAUCCCAUUUCAUUAUCCAAGGGAUUGAAAAUUCUAUGAAAAAAUACAUUGAUGCAAUGCCAUCAUAAAAAUAUUAUCUUUUUGUAAAGAAAUAAUUUUGGGAGAUAUGUCUACCCAUUGAGUAUAUAAACUUUUGAAUAGAGGAGGAAGUAUUUCUAUUGAUGGACCAUAUAAUUUCCACCAUUUGAAGAACCAAUUAGGAAUUUGUUGAUCGUUCAUAUUAGAACAAAGUUUGAUAAACCAUGAGUGCUUCCUAUUAGGAUUCUCAUAAAGAAAUUUUUUAUUAAAACUUUCAACAUAGUUCCAAUAAUUAAAUUUAACUAAAACUUUUUGAUAAGGAUGAGUAUAUUCUCGAUCCUUGAGGGUACUGAGACCCAAUUCAUCUGAAGGUAUUACCUUCUUGAAAAUAAUUUUCGAAAAACUAUAAGUUUUCUUGUAUUUGCCGGAUAAAAAUACUGAAUUUCAGCUGAUCCUGUUGUUGAGAGUAUGAUCUCAUAAUGCAGGCUCUAUUUAUAAGCAAGAGUAGUUUAUGACGCUGUAUCAAAAUACCUGGCCAUUAAUUGCCAUGGGUUAUCCUUCCAUUUGAGGUCGG
rnacentral:lncRNA from 1 species